UACAGAGGGUGCAAGCGUUAAUCGGAAUUACUGGGCGUAAAGGGCGCGUAGGUGGCUUAAGAAGUGAGUGGUGAAAUCCCUAGGCUUAACCUGGGAAUGUCCACUCAGACUGGUGGGCUAGAGUAUGGUAGAGGGUGGUGGAAUUUCCGGUGUAGCGGUGAAAUGCGUAGAGAUCGGAAGGAACAUCCGUGGCGAAGGCGGCCACCUGGACCAAUACUGACACUGAGGCGCGAGAGCGUGGGUAGCAAACAGG
rnacentral:rRNA from 1 species